rnacentral:rRNA from 1 species
UACGGGGGAGCAAGCGUUGUUCGGAUUUACUGGGCGUAAAGGGCGCGUAGGCGGUCAGCACAAGUCAGUUGUGAAAUCUCCGGGCUUAACUCGGAAAGGUCAACUGAUACUGUGCGACUAGAGUGCGGAAGGGGCAACUGGAAUUCUCGGUGUAGCGGUGAAAUGCGUAGAUAUCGAGAGGAACACCUGCGGCGAAGGCGGGUUGCUGGGCCGACACUGACGCUGAUGCGCGAAAGCCAGGGGAGCGAACGGG